UGAAGUGCACGGUCAUACAGUGGACAUCUUGUCACAUUUCGUGUGUGUAUGUGUUUGUGUGUGUUUGUGUACACGCGCACGCAAUGCAAAUGAAUGCAAAUAAAAGCAUUUUUAUCUCUUCAUUAAAAUGUUUCAUGCACAGAGUGCUUUAUUAACCUUUUUGAACUGUGAACAACUUAAAAUACCUUCAGAUUUAAACACUGUGGUUCGGACUGGUCCAUCCAGCAAGUGAUACUCAUUGGGGAGGUUUUAUUAAUCUUUGAAUCUAGGGGAGGAGGUGUCUUACUGAUCCCGAUGGCCAAGGCAUGCCCAAGGGCCAAAGGUUCAUGAAGAAAUAGCUAUGGGGACAGUAGGGCACAAUCAGUAGCCUCCGGGUGGAGGCUUUGCCUGGGGCAGCCACACUGCCCAGAUGGCCUUUCCAGAGCUGGGAGAUGCAGGCUUGUCACUGAAGCGGAGGGUAAAAAUAGUCCUGUGUGGGUGGCAGCUGGGCCCAGAGGCACUGGCUUCCUCCUCUCCAGAGCGGGAGGGCAGCCCAGUUGACAGGGACUUUCUAAGGCUCCUAGGGGCUGAGGGGCGUGGUCUUUCCCUAAAGAGGAAGCACGCCUCCCCCCCAACACACAUACAAAGUACUGGAAGGAACUUGGGCUAGGCUAGAAGGUAGCUAAGGGCUUACAGCCUGGAUCUGCUAGUUACCAGCUCUGUGACCUCAGGCAAGAUGUUUUCUCGUUUCUGAGCUUCCAUUUGCUCAUCUGUCAAAUGGGGCUCAUGAUUUCUCUCUGUAAGGCUUGCUGUGAAGAUUAAAUAACAGUGGUAGCUACCAUGUUCUACUCUGCAGCCUCAUUCUUCUGCCCCUCUCCCUUCCAUUUGCUCACCUUCCAGCACAUUCAAGAGUGGCUCUGGGGCAAGCUAGCUGCAUGACAUGAGGACCCUCAAGCAGCCCUACGGGAAGGUCUAAAUGGCCUGGAACUGAGGCCUUGAGACAACAGCCGUGUCAAGGAGUCAUGUUAGAAGCUGAUCCUCUCCCCCCCGGUAGAACCUUCACGUGCCCUAGCCAAACCCUUGGCUACAACCUCAUGAGAGACCUCCAGCCAGAACCACCCAGGGUUGUUAUAAGAAUUAAGAGCUAAUGCAUAUCAAACAGCAGCAAGACUUGCUGGGACCAGUGGCUCCAGAAAAGGCAGAAGGGAGGAGCAGAAGGAGGGAGUGCCAGAUAGGGGGUACCUGGCUGGGUCCAGGCUGGGGAGGUCUCCCACUCCUGAACUCUGGGGAGGAGUCCAAGAGACUGAAUAUACAGACAGUGGCCAGGCCAUAUAUAAAAAUAGCACUCUGACCCACUGCCUAUAGCAACAGCUCAGGAAGCCAAACCACAACCCCAGCAGCAAUCAGCCCCAAAUGGCCAGGCCUUGAUCAGUAACUGACGGCUGCCCGAAUUUUACCUCCCACUUUCAACAUAAUACAAAUUGGAGAAAAUUAAAUAUGCUCCCCUAACCAGUCACAGGGGAUGCCCCGCUUCUGAUCAGCCCACCUACAGCUUGUGAAUGCCAACAGCCUCCAAUCAGGGCACACCUGAAACCUACCCUUUUUUCCACUAUAAAACUUCCCCAUUCCUCUGCCUGCCUUUGUGUCUCUGCCAAGACUCAAGCAAUGGUAGCUGAUUCCCUUUCCUAUAGCAAGCUCUGACCAAAUAGUCUUUGCUCAUUCUCAUUUGGGUGGUCUUUGUUUAUUUCCACACGCCCAGGUUCUCUCCCUUCCUGCUCCCAGGUCAUAGACAACAUCUUCCUCUCCUGCCAGAUAUCCAGAGAAGGCAGCUCACAGAAGAUAGAAGAGAGGGGGACAAUUAUAAUUAAGAGAGUAGCUUUGGAACAGGACAGAUCUGGGCUCAAAUCCUGGGUCUGAUGCUUCACUAGCUAUGUGGUCUUGAGCAAGUCAGUUAACCAUGCUGAGCCUCUGUUUCCUCAUGUUGAGGGACAAUCCAGUGGAAUCCACUGCAAGAAUUCAGUGAGGUAAUAUAUUUAAAGCACUGAGCAUAUAGUAGGUGCUUAAUAAAGGAAAGGCCAACCAUCAGCCCCUCACAGCCUCUUGCUGGAGCAGGCAGGCCCCUGUACCUCAUUUUUACUCACCCCCAAACCUUUAUGUGCAGCAGACAGCCUGACUGACCUCACUGGAUGGAGUCAAAGCCAUGGGCUCUGAAUCCAGGGCAUAUCAAAGGUCGGGGGUUGGUCUCAGGAGUAGGACUGACUAAGAAAAUAGCUGACCAUUUCUCUAAAGAAAUUCAGCUGGUCAUGCGGGGGGCAAAAUGCCAAGGCCAGAUACGUGUUGUCAUCCUGCUCUAUCCUGGCUCUGUGGGGCAGUCAGGGCAGAGAGACUCCUGCCCAAAAAAGAGUGCCCAUGUGCCACGCUGCUUUCCCAGGACUGAGGAAGACAAGCUUGGUCUUUCCCUAAUCUUGUGUGUGUGUGUGUGUGUACACAUAUGUGUCAGUUUCUUCAUCUUUAAAAUAAGAAAUUUAAUUAGCUUCCCACGAAGACACACACACACACACACACACACGAAUUAGUGUUCGGCUGAUAGACAGGGGGUGGCUUUGGGAUGUUCCCAUGCUGGGAGCAUCAUGAAUCCCCUCACUCUAAUUUGCCAAGCACUUUCUUUCCAUCCAGUUGUCUCUUCUUCCACCGCCAUCACCGGAAUCCAAACCUCUAGCCAGCAUCUUUUGCCUGGAUCAUUGUAAAGACUCCUAAAUGCUUUCCUUCCUCCCCUACAACAAUCAAAGAAUACAAAUUAACACAAGGGGGACAAACCAUCCUCUAUCCCCUCAAUUCAUACAACAAUUUUUAAAAUAUUGACAAUAACCAGGACUGGGGGCAAUGUCUUCCCUUCUCCACAGCGCUGGAGUGUAAACUGGUACAUUUCUGGAGGGCAAUUUGGUCAGAUAUAAUUUACUGAUUCUGCAGGUCUAUUUUUCAAAAUAUAAGCUAAAUUAAAAAUUACAGUUUCUGCACAAAUACUUUGUUACAAGGUUCUUUAUGGUAAUAGUGUUUCUGAAGGAAAAAAGAAAAAGAAAGAAAGACCUCAAAUAUCCAAAAAUAGAGACCUUGAUUAAAUAAAUUGUAAUUGUCUAUAUACCUUGAAAGACCAUUCCUUCACUAAAAUUGAUGUUGCAGAUCAGUAGUGCUAAAAGUGCAGGCAGGAAGAGCAGCGAGAGCCUCACCUGGGGAUUUGGUAGAAAUGCGCAUUCUGGGGCCCCAACCCAGACUGACUGAUUCAGAAACUCUGGGCUGGGCCCAGAAAUCUGGGUUUUAACAAGUCUCUGGACAAUCAGAACCACUGUUUUAGAUGAAUAUUUAUCACUGGUAAAUAACAGGAUAAACUGUUAAAUGACGAAGGGUUACAAAACAGCAUGUACAAAACGGUAUGUACGAACAGUGCCUCCCUAUUUUGAAUGUGUGUAUAUAGAGUGACAUAAAUAGAAAAAGGCCCAGGAGAUUCUGUACCAAGGGGGUAACGUGGACAUUCUCUGGUUGGUAGGAUUACGAUGUUUUAGAUUUUUCUUUUUGCUAAUCUAUACUUUCUAAUUAGUUUACAGUGAAGUGUUUUUGUAAAAAGGAAUGAAGAAGGAAAAAA